GCCUGCGCGGAAGAUGUAACGGGGCUAAACCAUGCACCGAAGCUGCGGCAGCGACGCUUAUGCGUUGUUGGGUAGGGGAGCGUUCUGUAAGCCGUUGAAGGUGUGCUGUGAGGCAUGCUGGAGGUAUCAGAAGUGCGAAUGCUGACAUAAGUAACGAUAAAGCGGGUGAAAAGCCCGCUCGCCGGAAGACCAAGGGUUCCUGUCCAACGUUAAUCGGGGCAGGGUGAGUCGACC
rnacentral:rRNA from 1 species